GCCUGGGGGGCUCAGUCAGUUGAGCGUCUGACUUUGGCUCAGGUCACGAUCUCCCGUUCGUGGGUUCGAGCCCCGCGUCGGGCU
rfam:Felis catus isolate Cinnamon breed Abyssinian chromosome A2, whole genome shotgun sequence.